rnacentral:rRNA from 1 species
AUUGAACGCUGGCGGCAGGCUUAACACAUGCAAGUCGAGCGGAGAUGAGGUGCUUGCACCUUAUCUUAGCGGCGGACGGGUGAGUAAUGCUUGGGAAUCUGCCUAUUAGUGGGGGACAACAUUCUGAAAGGAAUGCUAAUACCGCAUACGUCCUACGGGAGAAAGCAGGGGAUCUUCGGACCUUGCGCUAAUAGAUGAGCCUAAGUCGGAUUAGCUAGUUGGUGGGGUAAAGGCCUACCAAGGCGACGAUCUGUAGCGGGUCUGAGAGGAUGAUCCGCCACACUGGGACUGAGACACGGCCCAGACUCCUACGGGAGGCAGCAGUGGGGAAUAUUGGACAAUGGGGGGAACCCUGAUCCAGCCAUGCCGCGUGUGUGAAGAAGGCCUUAUGGUUGUAAAGCACUUUAAGCGAGGAGGAGGCUACUGAGACUAAUACUCUUGGAUAGUGGACGUUACUCGCAGAAUAAGCACCGGCUAACUCUGUGCCAGCAGCCGCCGUAAUAC